rnacentral:ncRNA from 1 species
UGGUCCUAGCCUUGAAAUCAGUUUUUAUUUGACUUACACAUGCAAGUCUCCGCACACCCGUGAAAACGCCCUGCCACCCACCUAGGGUUAAGGAGCUGUUAUCAGGCACAAAUUAGCCCAAAACACCUAGCCUCGCCACACCCAUAAGGGUUCUCAGCAGUGAUCAACAUUAAAAAUAAACGUAAGUUCGAUUUAGCCAAAUUAAUAUAGAGCCGGCCAAUCUGGUGCCAGCCGCCGCGGUCACACCAUAUGGCUCAAAUUGAUUUCGGCGUAAAGUGUGAUUAAAGUCUGGGGUCAAAAUUAAAUUAAUCUGUCGCACGAUUAUUCUUAAGAAGUCCAAUCUCGAAAGAUACCCCAACUCAUCAACUUGAAUUCACAACAACUGGGACACAAACUGGGAUUAGAUACCCCACUAUGCCUAGUCGUAAACUUUUACUUACACCUCGCCAGGGAACUACGAGCAAAGCUUAAAACCCAAAGGACUUGACGGUACCCCAUAUCCCUCUAGAGGAGCCUGUCCUAUAAUCGAUACUCCACGUUUAACCUCACCAUUUUUAGCUAAUCAGUCUGUAUACUUCCGUCGUCAGCUUACCGCGUGAGCGAACAGUAAGCUCAAUGUCAUCAAUACGUCAGGUCAAAGUGCAGCACAUAAAAUGGAAAGAGAUGGGCUACACUUUCUACCUUAGAAAAAUACGAAAGAUUAUGUGAAACCAUACUCAGAAGGUGGAUUUAAUAGUAAGAGGAGCUAGAAUACUCCUCCUAACCUGGCACUGGGGUGUGUACACACCGCCCGUCACCCUCUUCAACAACUUUAAUCAGUUUAUAACAAGAAGAGGCAAGUCGUAACAUGGUAAGUAUACCGGAAGGUGUGCUUGGAAA